CUACGGGUGGCAGCAGUGGGGAAUAUUGCACAAUGGGCGCAAGCCUGAUGCAGCCAUGCCGCGUGUAUGAAGAAGGCCUCCGGGUUGUAAAGUACUUUCGGCGGGGAGGAGGGGAGUAAAGUUAAUACCUUUGCUCAUUGACGUUACCCGCAGAAGAAGCACCGGCUAACUCCGUGCCAGCAGCCGCGGUAAUACGGAGGGUGCAAGCGUUAAUCGGAAUUACUGGGCGUAAAGCGCACGCAGGCGGUUUGUUAAGUCAGAUGUGAAAUCCCCGGGCUCAACCUGGGAACUGCAUCUGAUACUGGCAAGCUUGAGUCUCGUAGAGGGGGGUAGAAUUCCAGGUGUAGCGGUGAAAUGCGUAGAGAUCUGGAGGAAUACCGGUGGCGAAGGCGGCCCCCUGGACGAAGACUGACGCUCAGGUGCGAAAGCGUGGGGAGCAAACAGGAUUAGAUACCCGGGUAGUC
rnacentral:rRNA from 1 species